rnacentral:lncRNA from 1 species
AUGGCUCCUGAGUCUUCUCUGCUGGAGUUGUUACAUAUUUAUUUGCUUGAAGGGCAUCCAGGAGCACUUAUUUGGGCACCAGUGCCAAAACAUCUUCUGCUCACAAAUGGGAUGGAUGCUGGUGGUGCUUUAGAUGCUGCCCUGGGGCUGAUGAUGGAGCAGGUCACAAGUUCACACACCGCUUUUGAAGGAGUUUGGCAGAAUAAAGCAGUGGGAAGGAAACGGGAGACUUGGAAUCAGGCAGAAGAACAAAUGAGGAUACAGACGUGUGAGGGAGGUGACGGCGUGUUUCUCGGUGUGUGA